GCGAAAUUCCUUGUCUGGUAAGUUCAGACGCGCACGAAUGGUAUAACGACUGGGGAACUGUCUCGAGGAUUUGCUCGGUGAAAAUACAAGGGCGGUGAAGAUGCCGCCUUCCUGCAGCUAGACGAAAAGACCCCAGAAGCUUUACUGUAAUUUGGUAUUGGGAUUACGGGUGCACCGCGUAGCGUAAGAGGGAGACUUUGAAGCAUGGUCCUCGGGUCAUGUGGAGUCGUCAAUGCAACACCUCUCCUUGUUUCUGUAAUUUCUAACCGCGCAUGAGAAACAUGCGCGAGACAGUACCUGAUGGACAGUUUCGGUGGGGCGCUGUCCUCCUAAAAAGUAACGGAGGAGCCUAUUAUGGUCAGCUAGGCGCGAAUGGAAACCGUGCCGAUAGUGCAUUGGCAAAAGCUGGCUUGACUGCGAGUCGUACGUGACGAGCAGGCGCGAAAGCGGAGCAAAGUGAACCGACCCUACGCAUUAGAUGCGGGGGAAGAUUAACGGAUAAAAGUUACUCUGGGGAUAACAGGCUGGUACUGCCUAAGAGUCCAAAUCGACGGCAGUGUUCGGCACCUCGAUGUCGGCUCAUCUCAUCCCGGGGCUGGAGAAGCUCCCAAGGGUAUGGCUGUUCGCCAUUUAAAGAGGUACGUGAGCUGGGUUCAAACCGUCGUGAGACAGGUUGGUCUUAAUCUGCUGUAGGCGUUGAUUCUUGAGGAGAUUCGUUUCUAGUACGAGAGGACCGAAAUGAACUGACCUCUGGUCUGGGGGCUGUACCGCCAGGUGCAUUGCCCCGUAGCUAUGUCGGGAAUGGAUAACCGCUGAAAGCAUCUAAGCGGGAAGCCAACUCCAAGAUAAGGAAUCGUUAUAGACUCGUGGGAGAUGACCACGUUGAUAGGCACCAGGUGGAAGCACUGUAAAGUGUUGAGCCGAGGUGUACUAAUCCGUCGACAGAACUCUCGAA
rnacentral:rRNA from 1 species